rnacentral:rRNA from 1 species
ACAGUCACACAUUAGAUACCCGUGUAGUCCUAGCCGUAAACGAUACUCGCUAGGUGUCGGCCACGGUGCGACCGUUGUCGGUGCCGUAGGGAAGCCGUGAGGCGAGCCACCUGGGAAGUACGGCCGCAAGGCUGAAACUUAAAGGAAUUGGCGGGGGAGCACCACAACGGGUGGAGCUUGCGGUUUAAUUGGAUUCAACGCCGGAAAUCUUACAGGGACCGACAGCAAUAUGAAGGCCAGGCUGAAGACUUUGCCGGAUUAGCUG